rnacentral:rRNA from 1 species
GGUGAAUAACACGUGGGUAACCUGCCCUAAAGUCUGGGAUACCACUUGGAAACAGGUGCUAAUACCGGAUAACAACAAUAGCUGCAUGGCUAUUGCUUAAAAGGCGGCGAAAGCUGUCGCUAAAGGAUGGACCCGCGGUGCAUUAGCUAGUUGGUAAGGUAAUGGCUUACCAAGGCGACGAUGCAUAGCCGAGUUGAGAGACUGAUCGGCCACAUUGGGACUGAGACACGGCCCAAACUCCUACGGGAGGCAGCAGUAGGGAAUCUUCCACAAUGGGCGAAAGCCUGAUGGAGCAACGCCGCGUGAGUGAAGAAGGUUUUCGGAUCGUAAAGCUCUGUUGUUGGUGAAGAAGGAUAGAGGUAGUAACUGGCCCCUAUUUGACGGUAAUCAACCAGAAAGUCACGGCUAACUACGUGCCAGCAGCCGCGGUAAUACGUAGGUGGCAAGCGUUGUCCGGAUUUAUUGGGCGUAAAGCGAGCGCAGGCGGAAAGAUAAGUCUGAUGUGAAAGCCCCCGGCUUAACCGAGGAAUUGCAUCGGAAACUGUGUUUCUUGAGUGCAGAAGAGGAGAGUGGAACUCCAUGUGUAGCGGUGGAAUGCGUAGAUAUAUGGAAGAACACCAGUGGCGAAGGCGGCUCUCUGGUCUGUAACUGACGCUGAGGCUCGAAAGCAUGGGUAGCGAACAGGAUUAGAUACCCUGGUAGUCCAUGCCGUAAACGA